GGACUUAGACAACCUAUCUCGACACCACUCAACCCACACAACUCACCUCUCACCCUCUCUUUCGAUUAACUUUACACUUGUCGGAGAACCCCAAGGUCGCCGGAAAACCUCGAAGAGCCGAGCGGAGAUCGACGGAAUCUUCUCGACUCGUUUCGUGAGGGUUCGUUGGGGUUAUUAACGAAGAACCAUAGCCUUGCCGGAGAUCGACGGCGACGAUGGAGACAACCGAAGCUCACCGGAGCCGCCCGUAAUACGCGACUGAGUUUCGCUCCUUUACUUUCGGAUAUCCGUUUCGUUCAUUCUGUUGGAUUUUUCUCAAUCUUUACUCGUGCUUCGCUUACAAGAAAUCGCAACGCAACCAAUGUUGAUUUAUCAAGAUAAAAGAAAGCAAGCUAGGAUGGUCCAGAAACUCAUUUUAGAAAUAAACUAUUGUUAUAUUUGGA